rnacentral:rRNA from 1 species
CCAAUAGCGUAUAUUAAAGUUGUUGCAGUUAAAAAGCUCGUAGUUGAAUUUCGGGGUUCAUACGUUGGUCGGGCUUUUUGGUCUGUACUGGCGUAAUGGAUUCCUACCUUCUGAAUAACCGGCAUGUCAUUAAUUUGGUGCGCCGGGGAAGCAGGACUGUUACCUUGAAAAAAUUAGAGUGCUUAAAGCAGGCUAUCGCCUGAAUACAUUAGCAUGGAAUAAUGAAAUAGGACGGCAUGGUUCUAUUUUGUUGGUUUCUAGGAUCACCGUAAUGAUUAAUAGGGAUAGUUGGGGGCAUUAGUAUUCAAUUGUCAGAGGUGAAAUUCUUGGAUUUAUUGAAGACUAACUUCUGCGAAAGCAUUUGCCAAGGAUGUUUUCAUUAAUCAAGAACGAAAGUUAGGGGAUCGAAGACGAUCAGAUACCGUCGUAGUCUUAACCAUAAACUAUGCCGACUAGGGAUCGGACGAUGUUAAUUUUUUAAUGACUCGUUCGGCGCCUUACG